AUACGGAGGAUCCGAGCGUUAUCCGGAUUUAUUGGGUUUAAAGGGAGCGUAGGUGGAUUGUUAAGUCAGUUGUGAAAGUUUGCGGCUCAACCGUAAAAUUGCAGUUGAAGCUGGCAGUCUUGAGUACAGUAGAGGUGGGCGGAAUUCGUGGUGUAGCGGUGAAAUGCUUAGAUAUCACGAAGAACUCCGAUUGCGAAGGCAGCUCACUAGACUGUUACUGACACUGAUGCUCGAAAGUGUUGGUAUCAAACAGGAUUAGAUACCCUGGUAGUCCACACAGUAAACGAUGAAUACUCGCUGUUUGCGAUAUACAGUAAGCGGCCAAGCGAAAGCAUUAAGUAUUCCACCUGGGGAGUACGCCGGCAACGGUGAAACUUAAAGGAAUUGACGGGG
rnacentral:rRNA from 1 species